rnacentral:lncRNA from 1 species
AUUAUUCCAUGUGAAAAAUACUAAAGCGCCACAGGGUUACAUUUUGUCCGUUUGAUAGAUCAUCUCUCUCUCUCUCUCUCUCUCUCUCUCUCUCUCUCUCUAUAUAUAUAUAUAUAUAUAGAGAGAGAGAGAGAGAGAGAGGUUAUCAACAUGCAAAUUCUGAGGCCAAUUUCUGUUUGCUCGUUCAAAACGGAGCUUCCAAAAAUGGAGAUCUGUUUUGCUUUGGGUACAACUACUGAUAGCCUUGCUUCUAAUGCUAAACAAUAUCGAAUUCUUGCCUCUACGUCUUACAAUCAGACCGUGAUUAGGCGAUCAGGAAAAUACAAGCCCCCUAUAUGGGAAUUCGAUUAUAUUCAGUCCUUAAAUAGUGAAUACACGGUAA